rnacentral:misc_RNA from 1 species
GGAUAUGCAGAGAAGGGAAUUGCACGAGAAGUCUCUAAAGUUGGAGGCAGAUCUUCGAAAGGUGGAGGCUAUGCACGGUGAGCUUCAUCACAUUUUUGCUGAUAUUAGGACCUUAGUGAUGUGAGGCAAGAACAUAGAGGUCGUAUGCGAGGAAUGACUCAAGAUUUGGCUAGGUAUAAUGCAGACUUGCAACAAUUUCCUGCUCUGAGGGUAGAAGUCGAGAGCAUGAAGCAGGAAUUGCAGAGUGCACGAGCUGCUAUUGAG